rnacentral:rRNA from 1 species
UACGAAGGGGGCUAGCGUUGCUCGGAAUGACUGGGCGUAAAGGGCGCGUAGGCGGAUUGCACAGUCAGAUGUGAAAUUCCUGGGCUUAACCUGGGGGCUGCAUUUGAUACGUGUGAUCUAGAGUGAGGAAGAGGGUCGUGGAAUUCCCAGUGUAGAGGUGAAAUUCGUAGAUAUUGGGAAGAACACCGGUGGCGAAGGCGGCGACCUGGUCCUUGACUGACGCUGAGACUCGAAAGCAUGGGGAGCAAACAGG